rnacentral:rRNA from 1 species
UACGUAGGGUGCAAGCGUUAAUCGGAAUUACUGGGCGUAAAGCGUGCGCAGGCGGUUCGUUGUGUCGGCGGUGAAAGCCCCGGGCUCAACCUGGGAAUGGCCGUUGAAACUGGCGAACUGGAGUGUGGCAGAGGGGGGUGGAAUUCCGCGUGUAGCAGUGAAAUGCGUAGAUAUGCGGAGGAACACCGAUGGCGAAGGCAAUCCCCUGGACCUGUACUGACGCUCAUGCACGAAAGCGUGGGGAGCAAACAGG